UAUAAAGUUGUUGCUGAUAUAGUACCAAAGUAGCCUUUAUUUCUAUUGUCUUGACAACAAUUUGGGUUUAUCGUUUUGCUGCUAUAUAUUUUGUUUUCUUCUUAAUUCGCAUAAAUGUAGGAUCGCGUUGGGUGAAGGAGCUAAAAUAGCGUUGCUUUACUUCUUAUUAAAAUAUAAUAAGCUUAUACUUAUAUCAACGGCUACGAAACUAGAGAGAUCUGCUACUGGUACGCUCGACUUUUACUUCUUAGACACUAUCUUAUAGACCUCUUGAAGUUUGUUAAAGAUCACUAGAGACUACUAAUUGAGAAAGAGGUUAUUAAACCAUGUUAAAGGCAACGCGGAAGAAGAAGUAUCCGACAACGAAGAAACGGAGAGCAAUGAAUCCGACGAUGACAGCGAUGCAUCGAGUGGGUACAAAAGGAAAACCACAAGACGGCGAAGCAAGGACCAAAUGCACAGGCGAAGCAGUAGGCGUAGCAACAAAUUUACGAUAAAAGACGUCGACGAGAGUAUAGUACAUUUUUCAGCAGACGACAAGCUACCGAUCGAGAAAUGGAUUGCAGAUUUCGAAGAAUUAAAUACGUUAUUGGACUGGAACGAGAUACAAAUGCUGCUGUAUACAAAACGUAUGCUGAAAGGAUCAGCUAAGAAAUUCGUUACGUACGAAAGAAGUCUAACGUCAUGGAGGAAAUUAAGUAUAAGCUUAUUGUAUUAAGAAAGAACGCAACAUUAUUUUAGCCUAUCCACAACGCGAUCCUACAUAAAUAUUAUCGAACAGUAAAGUGUCUACUCGCACGGUAAAUUUGGUUGUGAAUAUUAAAAGUUGUAGGUGCUGAUGCAUUCGUGCUGGUAUACUGUUGAGGACACAAAAGAGAUGUCUCGUACAAACGAUAUCGUCCUGCAGACCAAUUUUUACCCAGGCUUUAUCUCGAAGAUCUUAACCAUCGAUGCAGUUAGUUAUCCUUACCAGCGAUGCGAAUUCAAACGUAACGUGGACGCAUCCAUGGGGUUCCUGCGAGAAAUCACGAGCAAUAAGUCAGCUCUGAUGGAAAGAGAAAAGGACGAUCACGAACGGUCAGAGCCGGAUUACGAUGGAGCGUCGAUCACGGGCAAUUUGUUUGGCUGGUGUACGCGCGGUCGUUAAGCCGAUUAACCCAAUCACGCGUCACGAUGUUCGCAUCUGGAUCAAUGGUGAACAUCGUACGUUCGGCCACGCUUUAAGAUUUCUCACCCUCGCUGCUCAUCAAUCAUCCAAGAACAUCGAUGAGUGAACCGUCGUAUUCACGCAUACCUGACUUUGCAUAUAUAAAGGAUAUCUUGUGUAUUCGUCGGAUGAAUAAUGGGAAAUACUCCUUUGGAAGAAAAUUCUUGAAUAACGUGAAACAGACUAUACGAAUGUCCAAAGGAAACGAAUUACCGAAACUUCUGACGGAUACUUCUGAUUUUAGUUAUUCGAUAAAUGUAGCGACGACGGAUAUUUGUUAAUUUUCACGAAAUAUCGGGACUAAGUUCAUACGAAAUAUAUAGAGAAUAUUGUCCAUGACACAGUUAUGAUACCUUCGAGACCAAUUCGAUGACUUACUUAUUCAAACCACCUAGAGUGUUUCAAUUUUGGAAGCAUUAAUAUCUUACCACGUCGCUCUUCCACUUAUCAUUUCAAGCAGAAGAAAAUUGUAAUUAACCCUGAAGGACUCGUCGAGGGUGUCUAUUAUCCAUCUUAUAAGCGAUCAAUUGAAAUGAACGCGAUCGAAAAAAGAACGGUAGAAAGGAAGAGAUCAAAGAGACGUGGAUAUCUUUGGGACGAAAUUUCAAAUAAUAUAUCCCGUUCGACGCGGCGUAUCGCAAUUUAAAGGACGCUUCAUUAAAUUCGCAACCCCUCUCGAGAGUUGACGGACAGCAGAAGGGGUUGCCAAAGGGGAAGGAAGGGAGAAGUUUUCAAAGGACGCGUCCUCGUUAAGGCGACGCAGCAUUAUGGCGGGCGUGGUUGUCAGUAACGUUGACAGACACGUGGCCACUCAUCGGUAUAUUAUAUUGCAUUUUCGUAGUGAUACGAAGAACGUCGUUUGCAACAUUGCAACCCUUACGUCUAAUCGUUUGCCAAUGCUUACCCGACGAAUGGCUAAUACUCGCGACAUAUUCGACAAACUUCCCUUGUAUCUUCAGCGAAUUAUUUAGAUAAAGAGUGUUAGAUUUGCGGUAGAUAGCUAACUGUGA